AUGGACCCGAGCGUUUACGGCCUAUCGCGGACUGGGAGCGAAGCCCCACUCGCCGACCCGUCUCCGGCAGGAAAAGAAGUUGUGGGGAAAUCUGGCGGAAGAGCGGCGGCGGGGCCGGCACCGCGUCCAGCCGCUGGCGGCCGGCGGUCGGUAAACAAGCUGGGCGGACCCGCCCUCCCACAGCCCCCGGGCCGUCCCCGCACCCGGAGCGCCCAAGAUAGAAGCUCCGGCAGCAGCGACCCGGGCCCCUGCCCUCCCAGCGCCUGGGACGCGGCCGCCCCCGGAGUGCCGGGCGGGCGGCCCGGGAGGCCCGGCGACCUGGACGCCGCCUGGGAGCAAGGGGCCCGGCAGGCCGCGGCGGGGCGCCCCCCCCCGGGGCCCGGUUACCUGGCGGCGGCGACUCCUCCUCCAGCUCCUGCUCCUCCUUCUCGUCCGGCGGGCGCUCGGCGGCGGCGGCGGCGGCGGCGGCGGCGGCGACUCCCCGCGCAGCCCGAGGCGACGAGUCGAGCCCGGCCCCUCUCCGCCUCCCUCCGCGCCGCCGCCCGCCCCGCUGCUGCCGCCUCCGCCCUCUCCCCUCAGUCAGGACAUGGUCUCCGCGGGCCUGCGCGCGGCUCCCGGCUGCCGGAGGCGGGGGGAGAGGGGCAGAAAGGAGGCGCUGAGGCUGGGGAGCCCCGGGGGCCGGGGCCAGCGAGGUACUGGGGGCAGCCGCGGGCGCUGCAGACCCCUAAUGGCGGCGGCCGAGGGACCUGGAGCCAAAUAAACCCCGCGGCGAGCGGCACAACGUCAAGGCCAGACUCCGCCGCUCGCCGCUCUGUCAUUGGCCCUGAGGCCGCCGGCUGCGCAGCCAAUGGGCGGCCGCCUCUUUCCGGGCGUAGAGGGCGGGUCGAGACUGGGACACGUCAUCCCGCGCGCGGCUCCGAUUGUGAGUCGGCGGUCUGUUCCCCUCCGCGGCUACCUACGGGCCUAAGGGUGCCGGACCGCGGCGGGGUGCUCAUCGCUUGUGUUCGCGGACUGACGGCGGCCCAGAGGGCGUCCUCGGGCGGUGUCUGGAUGCGCGCUUUGCCUCUUCUCUGCGACAGAUGCGCCAAGUCAACCCCCAGGUGCAGUGGCUCAUGUCUGUAA
rnacentral:lncRNA from 13 species